rnacentral:rRNA from 1 species
GAUGGACGCUGGCGGCGUGCCUAAUACAUGCAAGUCGAGCGAACAGACGAGGAGCUUGCUCCUCUGACGUUAGCGGCGGACGGGUGAGUAACACGUGGAUAACCUACCUAUAAGACUGGGAUAACUUCGGGAAACCGGAGCUAAUACCGGAUAACAUGUUGAACCGCAUGGUUCAACAGUGAAAGACGGUUUUGCUGUCACUUAUAGAUGGAUCCGCGCCGCAUUAGCUAGUUGGUAAGGUAACGGCUUACCAAGGCAACGAUGCGUAGCCGACCUGAGAGGGUGAUCGGCCACACUGGAACUGAGACACGGUCCAGACUCCUACGGGAGGCAGCAGUAGGGAAUCUUCCGCAAUGGGCGAAAGCCUGACGGAGCAACGCCGCGUGAGUGAAGAAGGUCUUCGGAUCGUAAAACUCUGUUAUUAGGGAAGAACAAAUGUGUAAGUAACUAUGCACGUCUUGACGGUACCUAAUCAGAAAGCCACGGCUAACUACGUG